rnacentral:rRNA from 1 species
GACGAACGCUGGCGGCGUGCUUAACACAUGCAAGUCGAACGGAAAGGCCCUGCUUUUGUGGGGUGCUCGAGUGGCGAACGGGUGAGUAACACGUGAGUAACCUGCCCUUGACUUUGGGAUAACUUCAGGAAACUGGUGCUAAUACCGGAUAGGAGCUCCUGCUGCAUGGUGGGGGUUGGAAAGUUUCGGCGGUUGGGGAUGGACUCGCGGCUUAUCAGCUUGUUGGUGGGGUAGUGGCUUACCAAGGCUUUGACGGGUAGCCGGCCUGAGAGGGUGACCGGCCACAUUGGGACUGAGAUACGGCACAGACUCCUACGGGAGGCAGCAGUGGGGAAUAUUGCACAAUGGGCGGAAGCCUGAUGCAGCAACGCCGCGUGCGGGAUGACGGCCUUCGGGUUGUAAACCGCUUUCGCCUGUGACGAAGCGUGAGUGACGGUAAUGGGUAAAGAAGCACCGGCUAACUACGUG